ACUGGAAGGUUGGCAGCUUCUGUAAUCACGCUUCUGUGAGGUCUGAUUGUGGGAUGGCCUGAGGCUGGGAAUCACUGUGUAGCGGACCAGCUCAUGUUGACGGAACGUCCGCACUAAGCUUGACAUCAAUAUGGGUGCCAUGGAGGAGUCCACGGCAUUCAGGUUGGCCAAGGAGGGACGAACCGGGCCAGGGGUGAAAACCAGCAGCCAAGAGUUCCCGUGUUAGGCAGUAGUGGGAUAGCGUACCGGAGUGAACUGCCGUUAUCAGCCCAACCAAUUAUGGUUGGACCACAAUCUUUU
rnacentral:SRP_RNA from 1 species